rnacentral:rRNA from 1 species
CCUACGGGAGGCUGCAGUGAGGAAUAUUGGUCAAUGGGAGAGAUCCUGAACCAGCCAAGCCGCGUGAGGGAAGACGGCCCUAUGGGUUGUAAACCUCUUUUGUCGGAGAACAAAACCCGGGACGUGUCCCGGACUGCGUGUAUCCGAAGAAAAAGCAUCGGCUAACUCCGUGCCAGCAGCCGCGGUAAUACGGAGGAUGCGAGCGUUAUCCGGAUUUAUUGGGUUUAAAGGGUGCGUAGGCGGUCCGUUAAGUCAGCGGGAAAAUUGCGGGGCUCAACCCCGUCGAGCCGUUGAAACUGGCAGACUUGAGUUGGCGAGAAGUACGCGGAAUGCGCGGUGUAGCGGUGAAAUGCAUAGAUAUCGCGCAGAACUCCGAUUGCGAAGGCAGCUUACCGGCGCCAGACUGACGCUGAGGCACGAAAGCGUGGGGAUCGAACAGGAUUAGAUACCCCGGUAGUC